rfam:Morus notabilis contig10677, whole genome shotgun sequence.
UGAGAGCCUAUGAUGGGUUUAAAUAUACUUUGAGAUCAAUGUCUAUGAAAAGAAAUUAAUCUGAGGCUUUCC